rnacentral:rRNA from 1 species
AGAGUUUGAUCCUGGCUCAUUUCAACGCUGGCGGCGUGCCUAAUACAUGCAAGUCGAAUGGUAGCAAUACCAUGGCGAACGGGUGAGUAACACGUAGGUAACCUGUCUUUAAGCCGAGGAUAACCAUUGGAAACGAUGGAUAAUACUGGAUAGGACAUUUGAAGGCAUCUUUAGAUGUUUAAAGAUUUAUCACUUAGAGAGGGGCCUGCGGCGCAUUAGCUAGUUGGUGAGGUGAAGGCUUACCAAGGCGAUGAUGCGUAGCCGGACUGAGAGGUUGAACGGCCACAAUGGAACUGAGAACGGUCCAUACUCCUACGGGAGGCAGCAGUAGGGAAUUUUCGGCAAUGGGCGGAAGCCUGACCGAGCAACGCCGCGUGAACGAAGAAGUAUUUCGGUAUGUAAAGUUCUUUUAUUAGGGACGAAAAGACAGAUUGACGGUACCUAAUGAAUAAGCUCCGGCUAACUACGUGCCAGCAGCCGCGGUAAUACGUAGGGAGCGAGCGUUAUCCGGAAUUAUUGGGCGUAAAGGGUGCGUAGACGGCAAUACAAGUCUUUUGUUAAAGUGCUAAGCUCAACUUAGUGAUGCAAAAGAUACUGUAUAGCUAGAGUAUGGAAGAGGCAAGUGGAACUCCAUGUGUAGCGGUAAAAUGCGUAAAUAUAUGGAAGAACACCAGUGGCGAAGGCGGCUUGCUGGUCCGAUACUGACGUUGAGGCACGAAAGCGUGGGGAGCAAACAGGAUUAGAUACCCUGGUAGUCCACGCCCUAAACGAUGAGUGCUAAGUGUUGGUGAGAAAUCAGUGCUGAAGUUAACGCAUUAAGUACUCCGCCUGAGUAGUACGUACGCAAGUAUGAAACUUAAAGGAAUUGACGGGAGCCCGCACAAGCGGUGGAGCAUGUUGUUUAAUUCGACGAUACGCGAAGAACCUUACCAGGUCUUGACAUCUGCAUGUUAGUUAUAGAGAUAUAAUGAGAUAGUGCAAGACAGGUGGUGCAUGGUUGUCGUCAGCUCGUGUCGUGAGAUGUUGGGUUAAGUCCCGCGGCGAGCGCAACCCUUAUUGCUAGUUACUAAUAUUAAGUUAAGGACUCUAGCAAGACUGCCAGUGAUAAAUUGGAGGAAGGUGGGGAUGACGUCAAAUCAUCAUGCCCUUUAUGACCUGGGCUACAAACGUGCUACAAUGGCUGAAACAAAGAGAAGCGAAGCGGUGACGCAGAGCGAACCUCAAAAAGCAGUCUCAGUUCGGAUUGAAGUCUGCAACUCGACUUCAUGAAGUUGGAAUCGCUAGUAAUCGCGAAUCAGAAUGUCGCGGUGAAUACGUUCCCGGGCUUUGUACACACCGCCCGUCAAACCAUGAGAGUUUGUAAUACCCGAAGCCGGUGGCGUAACCGCAAGGAGCGAGCCGUCUAAGGUAGGACAGAUGAUUGGGGUUAAGUCGUAACAAGGUAACC